GCUAGCAUGACCUAGUGGGUUGAGUGUUGGACUAGGACUCUGGAGACCAGGGUUCGAUUCCCAGCUCAGUCA